UCUCUCUCUCUCGCUCUCUCUCUCUCUCUCUGACUUCCCAACCCGACACCGCUGCUCCAUCAGAAUUCAAAACCCAUCUUCACUUCCUUUCGUGUUGGUGUACGGCAUUUAUAUUAUAUUAUCAUGAAGAUCCAUUAUUACAGUUCAAUUGAUGCCGAUUCUCGUGGAAAAUUAUAUGCUGGAAGCGUUUCUUAUGGCUUUAAGACUUGUGUUUUGCGGCCACACAUUGUGAGUCUGGUCUCUACUGUGGCCAAGCUAUAAAGCCCAUUUUAUUGUAAGCUUCUUCAGCUUGGUCUCCUUUUCAUUUGAGUUAUAUAAUAUUCUUGUUAUAUUUUGUGUUUUACAACAAUUCUGGUGAUGGGUUUUUGUUGUUUUGUGCAAUUGGUCAUGGGUUGAUCAAUGGGUUUCCCUUUAAGCACUCGAGGCUGGUGACUCGUAAUUUUCAGUCA